GCGGCGGUUGCGGAGCGCCGAGAGGGUCUGGGGGCGAGGCGGGCCUGGAGAGGGGAAGGUGACGGCGGCGUCCUCAGUUUGGUACGCCUGCGGCCCGGGCCUUUUCGAGUCAGAAGUCGCCGAAUAUCAGGGAGCCUUGACUCCAAGCUGCCCUGGAGCAUGGGCGAUUUGGGGGCAAUAGCGUGUUUCAGGGUUGCAAUAUCCCCGGUCUAUAAAGCACCCUCCCCCACUCUAACCUGUUUUCUAUUGUUAUUUGAAAUGGUCUGUAUUAUGUGCUGGCAAAAGAAAUUGAUUACACUUUUUUCCUCAUUGCUUUAUGAAUGGAAUAUUUCAUUAUCCUCUGGACUAUACGUGAAACACUACAAACCCUUUCCAGUUUAAGUUCCAGAAGAUUUAUUUCCCUCUAGCUACUGGUUUAUCCCUUGAACAGUAUAUUUUGUACAACCUUACAAAAUAUAUUUUAUCAUUACUGAACAAUUUUGGACUGAGGACUAUACUUAGUUUUGAGAACCGACAAUCAAAAUAUGAACAGAACCAGGACUUAAAUUUGAUUUGAUUUAAAUAAAAUAAAAUCACUUCCCCUAUAUUUAAUCAUUUAUCUGUGUGUAUGGAGAUUUCUGCCCCAUCCAAUACAGAGGCCCAGAUUGGAACUCCAGAAUUGGCUCAAUCUGAUUCAGAUCAUUUGAAUGACCAAAAUCAGCAUGAAAUGUGGAAAAAGAGAAUUCCAUUCUUUAUAAUCUGGCACUGAAAAAGAUAAAUGACUAUACAUUUUAUGUUUUUUUUCAACAGCAAUUUGAGGUCAAGAUGGAAUCUUAGAAUUGUUUCAGAUUUCAUGGAAAACACUGCAGAAUUCUUAAGCUGUUUAAAUAUCCAUAAUCUUUUGAUUUGAGAUAAAAGUAUGAUGACAUUUUCAGCAAUACGAUCCAUGUCAAAUCUCAAAAACGGCAUUCACCACACUGAGGAGUCAGAGAAUGUUGAAUAUUGGGGAAACUUUGGAGUCUUAAAGUGAAAAUAUAAGAGAAUAAUCUAUCUGAGCAUAACAUAAUUAUUUGUUCCGCAUCGUAUCAACUACUUACUGCAUCUCACAAAAUUUCAGCACACCUAUGUUCAGGAUGAAUGACUAGCUGAAGAGAAAAACAAACUAGGGAUUUCUUCCAAAUCUUUCCUCUGGAUCUUUAUAACUGCUAGGAAAUUACCAAAACUCCCCUAGUCACAAUGAUAUGAUUUAUUUGAAAGCAAAAUUACAGAUCACCAAAUCAGAUAUUCUUCUCUUUCCAGCCAUGGAAUUUUAUUUAAGCAACAAAAGACAUGUUGUAUUUCUUCAUGCUGCAAAAAUUAUGA